rnacentral:rRNA from 1 species
UACGUAGGGUGCAAGCGUUGUCCGGAAUUAUUGGGCGUAAAGAGCUCGUAGGCGGUUUGUCGCGUCGAAUGUGAAAACCCGGGGCUCAACCCCGGGCCUGCAUUCGAUACGGGCAGACUAGAGUUCGGUAGGGGAGUCCGGAAUUCCUGGUGUAGCGGUGAAAUGCGUAGAUAUCAGGAGGAACACCUGCGGUGUAGACGGCUUACUGGACCAUAACUGACGCUGAGGCACGAAAGCGUGGGUAGCAAACAGG